rnacentral:lncRNA from 1 species
UCUUUAAGUACCGCAUUAUCGGCUCCUGCUCCAGGAUAUGAGGAUAAAGCUGACAUUAGGCGCAAGACAGUCGGUUCAUCCUCUGAUAACUUCAAAACUGAAACAGCUUCUGUUCAAGAAUCUAUACCCAGUGAAAACAAAGGCUUUAAAAUGCUUGCUAAGAUGGGCUGGAACAAAGGACAAGCUCUGGGAAAAGAAGAAAAAUCAGAUGCCAUCACAGAACCGAUUCUGAUACAACAGCGUCCCGCUAAGGCUGGUUUGGGGGCAGAGGGCUCUGCGCCGACUAAGUUGUUGGAUCCCAAGGAAGAGAAGAAACAGGAAUUGUGGCGUAAAACACAGCAAAGGUUCAAGAAGCUGAAGUAGUCCCUCUUCUCUCUCUCAAACGAUCACGUUCCUGUGGCUGUGAAUGAUUACUGGUCAAAUUUGCUGUUCAUCUCGCCUAUUGGGCUGUCCGUGGUGUUCCUAUGCUCGUCUUGCAGAUGUUCUAAAAUACCGAUGACGCCGCUGAAAGAAUUUUCCUUCUGCCGGACUCGGUUUUGAUAAAUUGCAUAACCGCUCAGAAUUUAGUUUUAUUCAAUCAAUUGUUAUACUUCGUGUAGUUUUAGUUCCAAAUUUUAACGAGAUGGCUGAAGUCUGCAUCGGAAACAGGAGAAAACCCACAAUUUUUUUAAAGAGUUUUACGCUAUACUGUCAUUCUUCUUCAUAUCAGUUCUUCAGCGCAAGAAAAUUAGAAAAUCCUUUCAAGUUCAUCGACUGAUUACUGAAUUUUUCAUGUAUUCUUUGCGUAUCUACCGAACAUAUAUCGUCGGUUUUUUUUUAAUUGAAAAGUCAUCCGUUGUUUCUAAAAUUAUGUCAUGCACAGGAAAAAGAAGUAAGUCCUCCUGCAAAGGAAAGUUUAUAGGAGGUUUUUUUUCUUAAAAAAAAAAAAAAAAAAAAAAAAAAAAAAAAAAAAAAAAAAAAAAAAAUUGUAUUGCCUUCUCUGUUUGGGCCUUAAACCCUUGCAUUAGGAUAUACCGAUCCUUACUCUGUCGUGCUAAGGAAAAACGCCGUUUAAGCCUUUCGGCGUUGCCAAAUUUCCUUUAAUAAAUCACGAAUUUUUGAGAAAAUUUGUAAACGUUUUUCCUCCAAUUUUUUAGAUAAUUUAGUUCGCAAUUUCACCUAAAUUUCCUAAAAAUUACAAGGAAAAAUAUCCUUAGCUUUCUUCGAAAAUGAACAUUUUAUCGAAGGAAAUUUGGCACCUCUUGAAUGGUUAUACGGUGUUUUUCACUAGCACGGCAGUACUGUCGAGGUGACUCGCGUUUGAUUGAACCGCAGUUUUCUACCUCGUAGUUUGUUCCGUUCUUUCACGUCAAAUUUGUAUUCUCCCUUUUUCUUUUCUUUUAUUUUCUUUCUUUCUUCUUUCUUUUUUU